ACACUCCUACGGGAGGCAGCAGUGAGGAAUAUUGGACAAUGGGUGGAAGCCUGAUCCAGCCAUCCCGCGUGCAGGAAGACGGCCCUAUGGGUUGUAAACUGCUUUUAUCUGGGGAUAAACCUACUUACGUGUAAGUAGCUGAAGGUACCAGAAGAAUAAGCACCGGCUAACUCCGUGCCAGCAGCCGCGGUAAUACGGAGGGUGCAAGCGUUAUCCGGAUUUAUUGGGUUUAAAGGGUCCGUAGGCGGACUGAUAAGUCAGUGGUGAAAUCCGACAGCUUAACUGUCGAACUGCCAUUGAUACUGUUAGUCUUGAGUAAGGUUGAAGUGGCUGGAAUAAGUAGUGUAGCGGUGAAAUGCAUAGAUAUUACUUAGAACACCAAUUGCGAAGGCAGGUCACUAAGUCUUAACUGACGCUGAUGGACGAAAGCGUGGGGAGCGAACAGGAUUAGAAACCCUUGUAGUCCC
rnacentral:rRNA from 1 species